GUGAACGCUGGCGGUAGGCCUAACACAUGCAAGUCGAACGGCAGCACAGUAAGAGCUUGCUCUUACGGGUGGCGAGUGGCGGACGGGUGAGGAAUACAUCGGAAUCUACUUUUUCGUGGGGGAUAACGUAGGGAAACUUACGCUAAUACCGCAUACGACCUACGGGUGAAAGCAGGGGAUCUUCGGACCUUGCGCGAAUGAAUGAGCCGAUGUCGGAUUAGCUAGUUGGCGGGGUAAAGGCCCACCAAGGCGACGAUCCGUAGCUGGUCUGAGAGGAUGAUCAGCCACACUGGAACUGAGACACGGUCCAGACUCCUACGGGAGGCAGCAGUGGGGAAUAUUGGACAAUGGGCGCAAGCCUGAUCCAGCCAUACCGCGUGGGUGAAGAAGGCCUUCGGGUUGUAAAGCCCUUUUGUUGGGAAAGAAAAGCAGCAGGUUAAUACCCCGCUGUUCUGACGGUACCCAAAGAAUAAGCACCGGCUAACUUCGUG
rnacentral:rRNA from 1 species